rnacentral:rRNA from 2 species
AGACCCGAAACCCGGUGAUCUAGCCAUGGGCAGGUUGAAGGUUGGGUAACACUAACUGGAGGACCGAACCGACUAAUGUUGAAAAAUUAGCGGAUGACCUGUGGCUGGGGGUGAAAGGCCAAUCAAACCGGGAGAUAGCUGGUUCUCCCCGAAAGCUAUUUAGGUAGCGCCUCGUGAAUUCAUCUCCGGGGGUAGAGCACUGUUUCGGCUAGGGGGCCAUCCCGGCUUACCAACCCGAUGCAAACUGCGAAUACCGGAGAAUGUUAUCACGGGAGACACACGGCGGGUGCUAACGUCCGUCGUGAAGAGGGAAACAACCCAGACCGCCAGCUAAGGUCCCAAAGUCAUGGUUAAGUGGGAAACGAUGUGGGAAGGCCCAGACAGCCAGGAUGUUGGCUUAGAAGCAGCCAUCAUUUAAAGAAAGCGUAAUAGCUCACUGGUCGAGUCGGCCUGCGCGGAAGAUGUAACGGGGCUAAACCAUGCACCGAAGCUGCGGCAGCGAACGUAUCACCCAAGACAACUUUACGGAGUUGACGAUUGACGGAGCGAAGCGACGUCAAAGCGUUCAUUAAAGUCGAGUUGGCUUAGGGAUACGUUCGUUGGGUAGGGGAGCGUUCUGUAAGCCUGUGAAGGUGUGUCGUGAGGCAUGCUGGAGGUAUCAGAAGUGCGAAUGCUGACAUAAGUAACGAUAAAGCGGGUGAAAAGCCCGCUCGCCGGAAGACCAAGGGUUCCUGUCCAACGUUAAUCGGGGCAGGGUGAGUCGACCCCUAAGGCGAGGCCGAAAGGCGUAGUCGAUGGGAAACGGGUUAAUAUUCCCGUACUUGGUGUUACUGCGAAGGGGGGACGGAGAAGGCUAUGUUGGCCGGGCGACGGUUGUCCCGGUUUAAGCGUGUAGGUGUGUGUUCCAGGUAAAUCCGGUUCACUUUAACACUGAGGCGUGACGACGAGGCACUACGGUGCUGAAGCAACAAAUGCCCUGCUUCCAGGAAAAGCCUCUAAGCAUCAGGUAACACGAAAUC